rnacentral:rRNA from 1 species
GGCGGAAUGCUUUACACAUGCAAGUCGAACGGCAGCACGGACUUCGGUCUGGUGGCGAGUGGCGAACGGGUGAGUAAUGUAUCGGAACGUAUCCAGUAAUGGGGGAUAACUAAUCGAAAGGUUGGCUAAUACCGCAUACGCCCUACGGGGGAAAGCAGGGGAUCUUCGGACCUUGCGUUAAUGGAGCGGCCGACAUCUGAUUAGCUAGUUGGUGAGGUAAGAGCUCACCAAGGCGACGAUCAGUAGCUGGUCUGAGAGGACGACCAGCCACACUGGAACUGAGACACGGUCCAGACUCCUACGGGAGGCAGCAGUGGGGAAUUUUGGACAAUGGGCGCAAGCCUGAUCCAGCCAUUCCGCGUGAGUGAAGAAGGCCUUCGGGUUGUAAAGCUCUUUCGCAAGGGAAGAAACGAUGCAGACGAAUAAUCUGUGUUAAUGACGGUACCUUGAUAAGAAGCACCGGCUAACUACGUGCCAGCAGCCGCGGUAAUACGUAGGGUGCAAGCGUUAAUCGGAAUUACUGGGCGUAAAGCGUGCGCAGGCGGUUUUGUAAGUCAGAUGUGAAAUCCCCGAGCUCAACUUGGGAACUGCGUUUGAAACUAC